UGGCGGACGGGUGAGUAACGCGUAAAGAACUUGCCCUUUAGACUGGGAUAACAGAGGGAAACUUCUGAUAAUACUGGAUAAGUUAGUAUAUCGCAUGAUAUGCAAAUGAAAGCUACGGCAUAAAGGAGAGCUUUGCGUCCUAUUAGCUAGUUGGUAAGGUAAGAGCUUACCAAGGCGAUGAUAGGUAGCCGGCCUGAGAGGGUGGACGGCCACAAGGGGACUGAGAUACGGCCCUUACUCCUACGGGAGGCAGCAGAC
rnacentral:rRNA from 1 species